rnacentral:tRNA from 1 species
AGCUCAGAGGGGAGAGCAUGUGAAUGCCAUGCACAAGGCCCAGGUUCAAACCCUGG